rnacentral:rRNA from 1 species
UACAGAGGUCCCAAGCGUUGUUCGGAUUCACUGGGCGUAAAGGGUGCGUAGGCGGUCGGGUAAGUCUGAUGUGAAAUCUCACAGCUUAACUGUGAAACUGCAUUGGAUACUAUCCGGCUAGAGGAAUGGAGGGGAGACUGGAAUACUUGGUGUAGCAGUGAAAUGCGUAGAUAUCAAGUGGAACACCAGUGGCGAAGGCGGCCUUCUGGCUCAUAACUGACGCUGUAGCGCGAAAGCGUGGGGAGCGAACGGG